AAGUACUCCUCCAAUGUCCGAGCACCGCCUCCGGUGGCCUACAAUCCUAUCCAUUCCCCGUCUUACCCACUGGCUGCUAUCAAGUCUCAGCCACCGGGAGCCCAGGCCUCCAAAACGAGCAAGAAAAAGGGCAAGAAACCUCUUAACACUUUGGAUGUCAUGAAGCACCAACCAUAUCAGCUCAACGCGUCUUUGUUUACUUUUCAACCCCCCGAUUCAAAGGAUGGCCUCCCUCAAAAGUCAACAGUCAAGGUCAGUUCAGUAGCCCCUGCCAUGAAGCAAGCCCUUCCUCCCCGGCAGGCGGAUAUUGGCUCUCCCACAAACGCGAAGGCUUCAUCUGUGUAUUCAGUCCCGGCCUAUACCUCUCAGCCCAACUUCUUUGCGGAGGCCACCUCACCAGUCAGCGCAUCCCCGGUGCCUGUGAGUGUUCCCACCUCUCCAAAGCAAGAAACGACCUCCACAUCCUAUUUUGUGGCUCCGAGGCCGAAGUUCUCAGCCAAGAAAAGUGGUGUCACAGUUCAGGUGUGGAAACCUUCAGUUGUGGAAGAGUGAGCUUGUAGCUGAAGCUGAGUGUCUACUUUGCUUGAAAUGAAACGUUUGCAGUGUUGAGUCCCCAAGAAUGCUUAGCAGAUCCUCACCUUACUUAAUGUCAGAUAUAUUUACCUCCCAAUCUGGGUCCAAGAAGCAUAAUAAUAUGUUUUUGGGUCAAAACCCCAACUCAGUUCAACUUAAAAUAUAUUUAUUUUCUUUGCACACUUCAAAGUAUCUGUGAUAUCCCAAAAUAGACACUACCUUAGCCGGAUACUUAGGACUUGUGCUUUAGCCAUAAGGCAGUGACCAGUGUAACCAACCUUGGGGACACAGCCUUUAUGUAAUAUACCAGCUCUGCUCCCAUAGUGAAGGGAGACUGCUAUGAAAAUGUAACAUGCUGACUGGGAGUCCCUUCAAAUCAUUAGCUCUAUUUCUGGUAUUAAGGAAAUAGGAAAUCUCUCAAGGACAGGAAUGGCUCUGCUCAGCCACCUCAGAUGCCUGUUGGCUGCCACAGAGAGAAGGUACUCUGAGACUUGUUGGGGGUUUAUGUAGCUUAGCAAUGGGUUAUAAGGAGGAUCUUAGGCACAGCGCACUUACUCUGUAUUGGGCCCUUUACUAGAUGUCCUCACAUACAUUGGCUCACUUUAGAAGACACAUUUGAAGUAAUUAGCAUCAGGAGAGAAAUCUUGUUAUCUUCAGAAAUGGAUUCCCAUUUAGAAAUGGUCCCUCCCAGUUUCUUAAGGAACCAUUGAGUAGGUCUCCGGUUGCGGGUGAGGUGAGGGCAUUGAGACAAGGGAUAGCACAGUAGAAUGGAGUAGCAUCAAAGGAGAAUGGACACAAAGUAACACGUGGCUAUUGUUUUACUUUGCAAAGCCACAUAGUCUAGGACUGACGGGACACUGACCACAGGGGCUGGUGCAUGGAGACAAAGCAAGAACUGCCGAGAGCCUCUCUGGGUGACCUCCCAGACAUUUUCCCUCAUGUUCAAUAUGCUUUUUGACAAAUGCUUCCUCCACUGUCCCUUACAAGUCUAUUCUAGCACCUUCCUUUUCUUACUUGUAUUUGAUGAACCAGCAUAGUUUGAACAAGGUUACCUUGUAAAUUUGGAUUGGUUACACGCCAUGCUGUCAUCCAGCUGUCCAUGAGGUGAAUAAUGUUGCUGAUGGCAGCCCUGAAGACCUUUCUCAUAUCUAUUUUAAGCCUGAGUGUAACCAACGGUGGAAAAUAUUCCACGUGAAUUAGUGGAGGGAAGCGCAAAGAAUAAGGACAGCUCCAGGGGAAGCCCGCUUUGCACAGGCGAUGUCUAGAGACUUCCUGUAAAGACUUUGCUGAUUUGAGGGCGCACAGUGCCAUUUCAGUCUCAAGAUAUCUGUGUUCCUGUCUUCUGCUGCCAAUGCCCUUCUGCUGUAUUCCACUAUCCUAUUAAAAUAUUUCUUUCUUCUUUUUCUGUUC
rnacentral:lncRNA from 1 species